rnacentral:rRNA from 1 species
CUACGGGUGGCUCCAGUGGGGAAUCUUAGACAAUGGGGGAAACCCUGAUCUAGCCAUGCCGCGUGAGCGACGACGGCCCUAGGGUUGUAAAGCUCUUUCAGCAGGGAAGAUGAUGACGGUACCUGCAGAAGAAGUCCCGGCUAACUCCGUGCCAGCAGCCGCGGUAAUACGGGGGGGACUAGCGUUGUUCGGAAUUACUGGGCGUAAAGCGCGCGUAGGCGGAUUGUUAAGUCGGGGGUGAAAUCCCGGGGCUCAACCCCGGAACUGCCCUCGAUACUGGCAGUCUUGAGGUCGAGAGAGGUGAGUGGAAUUCCGAGUGUAGAGGUGAAAUUCGUAGAUAUUCGGAGGAACACCAGUGGCGAAGGCGGCUCACUGGCUCGAUACUGACGCUGAGGUGCGAAAGCGUGGGGAGCAAACAGGAUUAGAUACCCGAGUAGUC